AUUGAACGCUGGCGGCAGGCCUAACACAUGCAAGUCGAACGAGUGGCGGAGGGGUGAGUAAUGUCUGGGAAACUGCCAGAUGGAGGGGGAAAACUACUGGAAACGGUCGCUAAUACCGCAUACCCUGAGAGGCGCCCAUAUGGGAUUAGCUUGUUGGUGGGGUAACGGCUCACCAAGGCGACGAUCCCUAGCUGGUCUGAGAGGAUGACCAGCCACACUGGAACUGAGACACGGCCCAGACUCCUACGGGAGGCAGCAGUGGGGAAUAUUGCACAAUGGGCGCAAGCCUGAUGCAGCCAUGCCGCGUGUAUGAAGAAGGCCUUCGGGUUGUAAAGUACUUUCAGCGGGGAGGCGUUACCCGCAGAAGAAGCACCGGCUAACUCCGUGCCAGCCGCCGCGGUAAUAC
rnacentral:rRNA from 1 species